CCCUUAGAUGUUCUGGGCUGCACGCGUGCUACACUGAUGCAUUCAGCAAGUAUACUUCCUUUGCCGAGAGGCCUGGGCAAUCUUGUAAACAUGCAUCGUGAUAGGGAUAGAUUUUUGCAAUUAUUAAUCUUUAACGAGGAAUUCCUAGUAAACGCAGAUCAUCAAUCUGCAUUGAUUACGUCCCUGCCCUUUGUACACACCGCCCGUCGCACCUACCGAUUGAAUGGUCCGGUGAAGCCUCGGGAUUAUGAACAAUGCCUUUGUUGGCAUUGUUUGUGAGAACUUGUCUAAACCUUAUCAUUUAGAGGAAGGUGAAGUCGUAACA
rnacentral:rRNA from 1 species